UGACGUUAUUUUGCUACCAGCCUUUAUUUAGGUUUGAUAUUUAAUAAUCACAAUUCAACACAGAGUCAAAUUCUCUUAUAAAUGAACCCCAGAGGCCUCAUUCGCCUUGCGUUAACUGCCGCCACCACAAGGUGGCACCACUGCACGCGCAUGGAGUCGUAAGCGUGACCUGAGCGUGACACGUUUCGGGCUUAAUGACCCCAGGUGUUUCACCAAACCAAGGCUGCGAAAACACGACAGAAAACGGACACGUAUAUUUCAACAAUAGACGCCGUGAGAGGAAUGAGCACUUGGAGUUUCAAAGCAAGUGACAGUUUUUGUCAAGCUAGCUACAGCUAACCCUGCUAGCUAACAGCGGCCCCGAAGAUAAUCACUUUUCACCGCCGCCAUCUGAGAGCACAUGUUCUUCAGAGCCGGGAGCUGUAAAAUGGACCUGGAGCCAUGAGGAGCCACGUCUGUAUCAUGUGAGAAUGAACUUGACUGCUCAUUGCCGUGGAAUCUACUGGAAGUCAACCGAGAAGACACACCUGAGGGUCAAGGAUGUAAGAGUGAAGUGCUGGUGCACUAACUUAGCAGCAGCCUCUGCUUCACCAGGUUGAGUUUGAAGGAAGCAUCAGCUGUAUAUGGUUUACUGGUUCAGCUGCUGCAGCCUGGACAGAAACACCAGCUCUCACCUGACAAACCAAACAGUCUUUGUACAAUGAAGUUCUUUGAGACCAGGACAGAGGACUCCAGGAAUCAAACUUCAUCCAUCAAAUCACAGAGAGAAGAGACAGACAUGAAGACAUUUCCAGAAGGUCUUCAGCUGCUGCAGAAACAAGAACACGUCAAUCACAGAAACUGAUGAGUAAAUCUAAUAUUCCUUUUUUAAACUGACCUUAUUCAUUGACACCUAAUAACAGUGAUUUAAACUUAACUUUUUAUAGUCAGUCAGUGUCACAGUAAUGACUAGAAAUAGUUCUGAAAAUCUACAAAAUAAUAUCCUACUGUAAUUAUUACAUGCUUAGCUCUCAAAUUUCACAGAGAUGAAUGUAAACCAUGCAAAAAAUACAGGAAAACAACUUAAACUGUACUCUUAUUAAAAUGGUGUUAUUUCAUUAUAAAUGAUUUAGCUAUGUUAAUAACUUACUUUACUAAAAUUAUUUUAAUGACAGAAUACGCCAACAUUUUUCACUGCAUUUUCUACUACUUUUUUAAAUGAUAUUUUUUAUGCCAAAGACAUUUGACUGUUUCUGAUGCCCUAACAUACUAUGACAAAGCAGCAGUCUAAUCUUUAUUUUCCACCGACCUCUACACAGUGUUUGUGGGUUAAGUUAAGAUUUUGUGUUUGGUAUUUUGCUAUUUCAAUAUCAGUACUCCAAUCCAAUCUAUUACUGUGUACAUAGUCCUGUUUUAUAUCUUGCCUUGUUUGUAUCAUGCCUUUUUAUGUUUUUGCUGCUGCAACACUGAAUUUCCCUGUUGUGGGACUAAUAAAAGAUUGUCUUACUCAAAUAAAUACUUCUGAACUGAAUAUUUUUAGCCUUGUUAUACUAUGACCUUUUUUAAAAC